UAAGAGGUCCAGCCUGCCCGGUGACAAAGUUUAACGGCCGCGGUACCCUAACCGUGCGAAGGUAGCAUAAUCACUUGUUCCUUAAAUAGGGACUAGUAUCAACGGCAUCACGAGGGUUACACUGUCUCCUUUCCCCAAUCAGUGAAACUGAUCUCCCCGUGAAGAAGCGGGGAUAUAACUAUAAGACGAGAAGACCCCAUGGAGCUUUAAGCUCAACAACACCUCUAUAGAAAUAUACCCCCGUAACCCAAGAGCCCUGUUUGUUAGCUUUAGGUUGGGGUGACCGCGGGGUAUAAUAUAACCCCCACGACGAAUAGGCCUAAAACCUUUAUCCAAGAGCCACUGCUCUAAGAAUCAUGAAAUUGACGUAAAAUGAUCCGAUUUUCGAUCAACGAACCAAGUUACCCUGGGGAUAACAGCGCAAUCCAUUUCAAGAGCUCCUAU
rnacentral:rRNA from 1 species